rnacentral:rRNA from 1 species
AUGAACGAUUUACAUAUCAUUCUAUAUCAUCUUGCUAAGCUUCAUGUGCCUUGUCAUGGACAAUAUUAUCAGACAAAAUCAUGCUUAUUUGAUGAACACCUUGUGUGUGCUAACCAUUGUAUUUCGAAGUCUUGUUUGUGUUUGCUCUUUUUGCAUGUAUACCACUCUGGAGAUACCUUGGAUUACUUGGAUUGCACCAUGUCUUCAACUCUGUCAAACUACAAGUCCGUCCACAACAACCAUGUCCAUGGUGAUGAGGUUUACGAUCCAAGGUCAGAUCUUUCCCAAGCAGGGGGGAGAUGA